AGAGUUUGAUCCUGGCUCAGGACGAACGUUAGCGGCGCGCCUAACACAUGCAAGUCGCACGAGAAAGGGCUUCGGCCCCGGUACAGUGGCGCACGGGUGAGUAACACGUAGAUCAUCUCCCCUCGAGUGGUGGAUAACUCUCCGAAAGGAGAGCUAAUACAGCAUGAGACCACGGCUUCGUUGAAGCUGCGGCCAAAGCAGGCCUCUACACGUAAGCUUGCGCUUGAGGAUGAGUCUGCGGCCCAUCAGCUAGUUGGUAGGGUAAUGGCCUACCAAGGCUAAGACGGGUAGCUGGUCUGAGAGGAUGAACAGCCACACUGGAACUGAGACACGGUCCAGACUCCUACGGGAGGCAGCAGUGGGGAAUCUUGCGCAAUGGGCGAAAGCCUGACGCAGCGACGCCGCGUGAGCGAUGAAGGCCUUCGGGUUGUAAAGCUCUGUGGGGAGGAAAGAAUAAGAGUUGGCUAAUAUCCAGCUCGAUGACGGUACCUCCUUAGCAAGCACCGGCUAACUCUGUGCCAGCAGCCGCGGUAAUAC
rnacentral:rRNA from 1 species